rnacentral:SRP_RNA from 1 species
GCCAGGCCUGGUAGUACAUGCCUGUAGGCCCAGUUACUUGGGGUGGGGAGGCGGGAGGAUCACUUGAGUGCUGAAGUUUUGGGCUGUAGUGCACUAUGCAAUCAGGUGUCCCCACCACAUUGGGCAUCAAUCUGGUGAUUUCCUGGGAGCAGGAGACCACCUGGCCCACAUCAAAAACAGAGUAGGUCAACAUUUCCAUGUUAAUCAGUAAUGGGAUCCAGCCUAUGAAUAGCCACUGCACUCCAGCCUCGGCAAUAGAGCAAGACCCUGAAUUU